UUGAAAGGGAAACGAUUGAAGUCAGUCGUACCAGCGGGAAAUCAACCUUUCGAGUGGGGGUUUUGGAGUUUUGAAGAGUUUCAAAACCUUUGAGAUUUCAAAAAUUUCGCUCUUUUGGUGUACUUUCUCGUGGGUAGGUUAACAUCGAUUUUGAUCAUCAUAAAAAGAUUGGAGGAAUGUAGCUUCGAUCUUGUAUUGAAGUGUUAUAGCCUUUGGUAAAUGUGAUGAUUAGGAUCGAGGAUUGCAACGAAUACCCUUUUGGGCUAUCCGCCUGAUCUCUGAUACGUGGCCUUGGUAUCGAAAGCUUGCUUAUGGUAUUAAGGUAUUACGGUCAAAAGGUUAGAACGGAUUACAUUCGUUAAGGAUGUUGACGUA
rnacentral:rRNA from 1 species